UUUAAAGACAUUGUUUACCUCCCCCAGUGGAGUGGGAGCCCCGGGAGAGCUGCCAUUCUGCUGCUCACCUUUCUAUCCUAAGCUCUUCGCUCGCUGCCCGGCCUCUAGCAAGCGUGCGGUAAACACCUGUUAAGUGGGUGCGAGCCAAGUCCCAUUUCUUUUCACUUUUCGGGCUAUGACUUGAGAUCUUCCCAAAGAGCAGAUGAUGCUUGUGUGGGAACUCCAGACUUUUGCAUUAUAGCCUUCCUGCUUUCCUCUUCUGUUACUGGAAGCUUUGCACGCCUGUGACUUUGGAGGAAGACUCUGCUGAUAGAGAGAGAGACAGAGCAUGAGCGGGGAAAGGGCAGAGAGAGAGGGAGACACAGAAUCCGAAGCAGGCUUCAGGCUCUCAGCUGUCAGCACAGAGCCUGAUGCGGGGCUCGAACUCACAGACUGCGAGAUCAUGACCUGAGCCGAAGUCGGACACUCAACUGACUCAGCCACCCAGGCGCCCAGACUGCACAAUCUUUGACCAAGAUUAUAACUCCAGGUUCCAUGUUGGACAAGAUGAUCUGUAGAGCUGAGCUGUGUUAUCAAAGCAAGGUCCUAGAUACAAGAUUCACACUGUGAUUUGGAAAGGCCUGUCUCAACUUUGUUGCACCUGGCAGGUCGUCCUCUCUAAUCAUUUCCCCCUUCACUUUUCAGACCUUCUAAACUCUAGGAAAGCACCAUCACUAAACUGAACCAUUUUUUUUU